UGGCACCACAUAAAAAUAAAUAAAGGUAUUGUGUCCAUCUACAACUAAAAAAAAGAAGAAAUUUCCUAAAUAAGCUAACUUGUACUUGAAAUAAAGGAAGAAGAUCAAGCUAAACCCAGCCAUUAGCAUAAAGAAGGAAACAAAGAUUUGAAGUUAAUGAUAUAGAAAUUAGAAAAUUAAUGAAGAACCAACAAAACCAAAAAUUACUAAAUUUGAGAAAACUUUUUCUAAACUACUAACCAAGAAACAAAGGGGAAUGAAUAUCCAUAACUCAAUCAGAAAUAAAGUGUUGACAUGACAGUAGGUCUUACAAAGUUAAAUGAUUAUAGAACAAUACAAAUUCCAACAAAUUGGAUAAUUUUGAUGAACAAAUUUUAAGAAAUACAAAAAUUUUAAAACUUUCCCCCAAACAAAUAGAACAUUGAACAGCUUGUUUAAAAAAAAAAAGGUAACCAGUUCAAAUCAGUAGCAAAACAACAAACAGCAAGACUCCCAAACUAAGAAAGGC
rnacentral:lncRNA from 1 species